GAUGUGAGCAAACUAAAAAUGCAGAGACAGAAGGUGAAACAAGUUGCACUGAGUGAAUUGCAGCUAUAUUUAAAAUACCAUUAUUUGUGAUCAGCAAGUACAAUUUUGCCAAAUUCAGGCUGAACUGGAGAAGCCAAAUUCUCAGAACAAUAUGGUUAAAUGUUCUGCUAUAUACUUUAAAAUUAGUUAGACCUACAGUUCAUAUGUAUUUAAUAUAAAAGUUCCUCUUGAAUGAGGUUUUGGCUUUGCAUUAUUUGGAAGCUACAAAAAUAAUCUUUUAUGAAAGUAGCUGAGCAAACUUGCAAGAAGAUUUUUUUCUAAAGAGAAUACAAUAUUAAAACUUGUAGUUAAAAAGGAGAUUAUUGUGGAUUUCCUUUGCACCUUGUUUACAUAUGAAGGGGAGUUCCAGGUCAACUGGAGUGCUAUAUUAAAGUAUAUUGAGAGCUUUUGUUUCUGUGUGCUGUCCUGUUGGUUGUCUUGAUGCUGCCAUGGUUAGUGCAAGUCUUCUUGCUGAAUCUGAGAAAGAACAUAAAUGUUCUAGAUGGUUGGACUCAAUGAUCUUAAAGGUCUUUUCCAACCAAAACUAUGAUUUUAUGAUUCUGUGUGACAGUGGCUGCACUCAGACUUGGGAGAGACACAACCUGCUGUCCACAAAGGGGUGUACCUGACUGUCAACUUUGGCAGAUGGAGUAAUUUAAAGACAUUGAGGACAGGUCAAGCACAAGGAUAGCUGAAGCUUGCCAGCUUCUAUGCAGCAAAUGGUGAGUGAGGAAUAUGAACACUACAGAGAAUACUUGCAAGUUUAAAAGGAUCAGGAUGGAUUUUUGAUAUCCAUGAAAUCUGACACAUCACACUGGUAACAACAGCAUGGCAGAGAGCAGCUGAUAGAGGAAUCAAAUUCACCACAAAUCAAAACUAAGAGUGAGCUUAUUCCAAAUUCAGAAGGUCCUUGCAGCAGUGAGGCUUCUGUCAACUAUAUGAGCAUGACCUCAUUCUUUGCCCGCAGAGAAGAUACAUUUCAGCCUAAUUCUUUACUUCUUGGAUUGCAGCAUUUAUUGUUACCAUCUCUCUGCAUCUGCUCUCCUUAACCCCAAGCAUCUUUGUAGCACGUAUAUUCUGGCACCAUUUAGUAUAUCAGGUGUUAUAAGCAAAUUUUAUAUCUGUUCUGCAGUUUAUCAGGAGUGUCUUAUUAAGUGCAGGUACUUUAACUGAAGAGUAGUAUUAUGCUGCUUUAGAAUGCCUUUAAAUCAGAAUUACAAAACGUUCAGCAGUAACCUUAUAAACUGAUGGUUCACUGAUGGGUAGGUCAAUCAAAAUACUUAUUUGUUAAGCAACUUCUCAGUUCAUUAGUGCUAAUCCUGGAAUUAAUUGGUGUGACCUGCUCACCUAGACACAUGAUCCUAUUGAAAAAAGCAGAAUUUUUUUUGUGGUCUUCAAAAAUUGCCCCAUGAUCUAGGUUUUUUCAGCUUCUCAAUACUAUUUUUCCCCAUUUAAAGUAAUGCUGAAGUAGAAUGCUGUAUAAAGGGAAUCAAGGCAUUAUUUUAAUACAGUAGUACAUUUUUGGUGUGUUAAUUUUUUAUAGAUGCACUAAGAAUGUGUUAUUUUGAAUAGGAAAAAAAAGGUGUAUGUGAAUUAAGUAACAUUACUGCAGAGAUACCAACCUCUUUCUACAGUUAAUCAUGGAAUCGAUGGGUAUAUGGAAAAGAAAAUCGAUAUACUCCCAAGAUAGAAACCAGAUGUGGAAUUCCUUUAUGGAGAUAAAACAACACAAUUCACUGUACAUUUGACUUAAAUCUGGAGAGGGUGGGAGGAAAAGAGACAGUUAUGUGAUUUGUUCUGCAAAUAUUUAUUUUUAUAUGGCUUCCAUCCUUUUCCUCCUUUCUUUCUGUUUCUUUUUUACUUAAGGAAUGAAAUGUCUAUUUUUGAAAUCAAAUCGUGGCUGUAGAAGGAGUUAUCUUCUGUAGGAAUACAAACUCCCAAGACCACAGACAAAGUAAUAUUAACUAGAGACACAGACUUUCCAAGAAGCUAAGUUAAACAUCUUAAAUCAGCAUUAAGACUCUGAAAGAUGACAGGAUACAGUGUACCCUCAGGAAGUCUGCUCAUGAUACCAAACUGGGAAGAUUAGCUGGCACACCCAAAGGCUGUGCUGCCAUUCAGAGAGAUCUGGAUAGGCUGGAGAGUUGAAGAGAGAGGAAGCAAAUGGAAUUCAACAAGGCGAAAUGUAGAGCCCUACACCUGGGCAAGAAUAACCCCAUACACCAGUACAGCUCAGGGGUUGAUCUGCUAGAGAGCAGGUCCAUGGAGAAUAGCCUUGAAGACCCGGUGCACAGUAAGUUGACCACAAGAGAGUAAUGUGUUCUUGUAGCCAAAAGGGACAAUGGUACCUUGGGGUGCAUUAAGAAAAGUGUGACCAUCAGGUUAAGGGAGGUUGUCCCGUCCCUCUACUCUGCCCACUGAGGCCUCAUAUGGAGUAUUAUAUCCAGCUCUGGGCUGCCCAGUUCAAGAAGGACAGGGAACUACUAAAGAGAGUCCAAUGGAGGGCUAUAGGGAUGGUGAGGAAAGGCUGAGAGACCUGGGGCUGUUUAGUCUGGAAGAGAGAAGGAUGAGAGGAGAUUUGAUCAAUGUUCAGAAAUAUCUUAAGGACGGACAUCAAGAAGACAGGGCUAGCCUCUUUUCAAUGGUGCCCAAUAAUAGAAUGAAGGGCAACAGGUACAAACUGGAACACAGGAAGUUUCACCUCAACAUGAAGAAAAACAUUUUUAAGGGGAGGGUGACAGAGGAUUGGAACAGGCUGUUCUGAGAAGUUGUAGUCUGCUUCUCUGUAGAUUUUCAAAACCCAACUGGAUGCAUUCCUGUGUGGCCUGCUCUGUGAUCCUCAUUUGGCAGGGGAGCUGGACUAGAUGAUCUUCAGAGGAUCCCUUCCAACUCCUAUCAUACUGUCAAUUUGUGAAAGACAAUUUGAGCAAAGAAGACAGGAAAGUGCAAUUUGCUGAGAAGACUUCAGCUGUGUAUAAUCAGAAACACUGAAAGGAAUGGACAUUUCCUUGGGUUUAUUGGUCUUUUCUCCCAGGCAACCAGCAACAGGACAAGGGGACACAGUCUCAAGUUGUGCCGGGGAGGUCUAGGCUGGAUUUUAGAAGGAAGUUCUUCCCAGAGAGAGUGAUUUGCCAUUGGAAUGGGCUGCCCAGGGAGGUGGUGGA